UCGAAUAAACUUGAACAGGCUGUUGCUGGUCCUCCCCUGGAGGCAUGUGCACGCUUGUCAUCUUUAUCAUUUCUCCAACUGUGCACAUAUUGUAGACCUGGAGUUUUUGGAAUUCGUUCCGAGUCGGGACUGCUGCGCUUCGUUUUUCAAGAGGUCAGCUUUUCCUUGCAUUUUUCAGGUCUAUGUUCAUUUCACAACCUCUGUAAAAUGUGUUUUAGAAUGGUUGAAUCAUAAUAAAGUUUAUA
rnacentral:misc_RNA from 1 species